rnacentral:sRNA from 1 species
UUUUGACUUUUUCAACUACGCGGGACUGCAGCGGUCUGUACUUCUGUACACGACACCCACCACCUACAUCGAUGACAUCACCGUCACCACCAGCGUGGAGCAAGACAGUGGGCUGGUGAAUUACCAGAUCUCUGUCAAGGGCAGUAACCUGUUCAAGUUGGAAGUGCGUCUUUUGGAUGCAGAAAACAAAGUCGUGGCGAAUGGGACUGGGACCCAGGGCCAACUUAAGGUGCCAGGUGUCAGCCUCUGGUGGCCGUACCUGAUGCACGAACGCCCUGCCUAUCUGUAUUCAUUGGAGAUCCGAGGGAAGGGCUUCGACUGGCCGCUGCUGGUGAAGGACUUCAACCUGCUUCGCUGGCUUGGUGCCAACGCUUUCCGUACCAGCCACUACCCCUAUGCAGAGGAAGUGAUGCAGAUGUGUGACCGCUAUGGGAUUGUGGUCAUCGAUGAGUGUCCCGGCGUGGGCCUGGCGCUGCCGCAGUUCUUCAACAACGUUUCUCUGCAUCACCACAUGCAGGUGAUGGAAGAAGUGGUGCGUAGGGACAAGAACCACCCCGCGGUCGUGAUGUGGUCUGUGGCCAACGAGCCUGCGUCCCACCUAGAAUCUGCUGGCUACUACUUGAAG